UCCACAUAUUACAGACGAUGUGGACUUUGUGACAGUUUCUUCCAUUAUCAAGAAUGGAAAGAUGGCUUACAUAAUUUUGAUGACCAUAUCAUUAUGAGCAUCCAUCUGUGUCUUUUUUUGCAUAAUUCAAUUCAGAGUCACACAGCUGUUGAAAGGGUCAUAAGCAGCCUUGAAAAAACUAAUGAAGUGCCCCACCCAAGUCAUAAUGCCAUAUUGCAUGCAUACCUACAUUUUGAGGCACUGAUGUCAUGAUUAUAAUUUCUAUUGUGUGCACUGUGGGCAUCAUCCUCCUAUUGUUAUCAUGGACUUACACAAAAAGGGUGUCUUUAAAAUGGCUGCAAGUGACGUGAAAGAACCCCCACCAGAUUUUAAAGGGGAGGUGGAUAUGGAAGACUAUUGGAAGUCCGUGGAAAGAGAAAUUCUUGGUAAAGGCUUUGUGAAAUGUAAGCUCAUGACAUUUUUACUUGUUAACAGCUGCCUGAAUGUAAUUUGAAAGGGUCGAUUUUGAAGUCUUUUCCCUUUUUCCAGGCA